UACGGGGGGGGUAAGCGUUGUUCGGAAUUACUGGGCGUAAAGGGCUCGUAGGCGGCCAACUAAGUCAGACGUGAAAUCCCUCAGCUUAACUGGGGAACUGCGUCUGAUACUGGAUGGCUUGGAUCCGGGAGAGGGAUGCGGAAUUCCAGGUGUAGCGGUGAAAUGCGUAGAUAUCUGGAGGAACACCGGUGGCGAAGGCGGCAUCCUGGACCGGUACUGACGCUGAGGUGCGAAAGCGUGGGGAGCAAACAGG
rnacentral:rRNA from 1 species